UUCCUCCUAGUUCAUGUCCUUCGUCUGUCUCUUGUCUUCGUUGUAAUCGCUCAAAAUGAAUUUGAUAUCGGCAUCAACUCCCUGGAACUUGAUUGUAGCUCGAUCAUAUACUCUGGCGGCAGCAUGGGCAGUGUCAAAUCCUCCUAAAUAUACUUGUUUCCCACAAUCCC